rnacentral:rRNA from 1 species
CCUUGAGGCGUGGCUUCCGGAGCUAACGCGUUAAGUCGACCGCCUGGGGAGUACGGCCGCAAGGUUAAAACUCAAAUGAAUUGACGGGGGCCCGCACAAGCGGUGGAGCAUGUGGUUUAAUUCGAUGCAACGCGAAGAACCUUACCUGGUCUUGACAUCCACGGAAGUUUUCAGAGAUGAGAAUGUGCCUUCGGGAACCGUGAGACAGGUGCUGCAUGGCUGUCGUCAGCUCGUGUUGUGAAAUGUUGGGUUAAGUCCCGCAACGAGCGCAACCCUUAUCCUUUGUUGCCAGCGGUCCGGCCGGGAACUCAAAGGAGACUGCCAGUGAUAAACUGGAGGAAGGUGGGGAUGACGUCAAGUCAUCAUGGCCCUUACGACCAGGGCUACACACGUGCUACAAUGGCGCAUACAAAGAGAAGCGACCUCGCGAGAGCAAGCGGACCUCAUAAAGUGCGUCGUAGUCCGGAUUGGAGUCUGCAACUCGACUCCAUGAAGUCGGAAUCGCUAGUAAUCGUGGAUCAGAAUGCCACGGUGAAUACGUUCCCGGGCCUUGUACACACCGCCCGUCACACCAUGGGAGUGGGUUGCAAAAGAAGUAGGUAGCUUAACCUUCGGGAGGGCGCUUACCACUUUGUGAUUCAUGACUGGGGUGAAGUCGUAACAAGGUAACCGUAGGGGAACCUGCGGUUGGAUCACCUCCUUACCUUAAAGAAGC